rnacentral:rRNA from 1 species
AUUGAACGCUGGCGGCUUGCUUUACACAUGCAAAUCGAACGGUAACAGGGUGCUUGCACCGCUGACGAGUGGCGAACGGGUGAGUAAUGCGUCGGAACGUGCCGAGUAGUGGGGGAUAACGCAGCGAAAGUCGUGCUAAUACCGCAUACGUACUGAGGUAGAAAGUGGGGGACCUUCGGGCCUCACGCUAUUCGAGCGGCCGACGUCUGAUUAGCUAGUAGGUGAGGUAAAGGCUCACCUAGGCGACGAUCAGUAGCGGGUCUGAGAGGAUGAUCCGCCACACUGGGACUGAGACACGGCCCAGCCUCCUACGGGAGGCAGCAGUGGGGAAUUUUGGACAAUGGGCGAAAGCCUGAUCCAGCCAUGCCGCGUGUCUGAAGAAGGCCUUCGGGUUGUAAAGGACUUUUGUCAGGGAGGAAAUCCCUAGUGCUAAUAACACUGGGGGAUGACAGUACCUGAAGAAUAAGCACCGGCUAACUACGUGCCAGCCGCCGCCGUAA